ACUCCUACGGGAGGCAGCAGUGGGGAAUAUUGCACAAUGGGGGAAACCCUGAUGCAGCCAUGCCGCGUGUGUGAAGAAGGCCUUCGGGUUGUAAAGCACUUUCAGUAGGGAGGAAGGUAGUGUAGUUAACACCUGCAUUAUUUGACGUUACCUACAGAAGAAGCACCGGCUAACUCCGUGCCAGCAGCCGCGGUAAUACGGAGGGUGCGAGCGUUAAUCGGAAUUACUGGGCGUAAAGCGCAUGCAGGCGGCCUGUUAAGUCAGAUGUGAAAGCCCGGGGCUUAACCUCGGAAUUGCAUUUGAAACUGGCAGGCUAGAGUCUGUAGAGGGGUUAGAAUUUCAGGUGUAGCGGUGAAAUGCGUAGAGAUCUGAAGGAAUACCGAGUGGCGAAGGCGGCCCCUGGACAAAGACUGACGCUCAGAUGCGAAAGCGUGGGAGCAAACAGGAUUAGAUA
rnacentral:rRNA from 1 species